rnacentral:rRNA from 1 species
UAACGCGUUAAAUCGACCGCCUGGGGAGUACGGCCGCAAGGUUAAAACUCAAAUGAAUUGACGGGGGCCCGCACAAGCGGUGGAGCAUGUGGUUUAAUUCGAUGCAACGCGAAGAACCUUACCUACUCUUGACAUCCAGAGAACUUACCAGAGAUGCUUUGGUGCCUUCGGGAACUCUGAGACAGGUGCUGCAUGGCUGUCGUCAGCUCGUGUUGUGAAAUGUUGGGUUAAGUCCCGCAACGAGCGCAACCCUUAUCCUUUGUUGCCAGCGGUUCGGCCGGGAACUCAAAGGAGACUGCCAGUGAUAAACUGGAGGAAGGUGGGGAUGACGUCAAGUCAUCAUGGCCCUUACGAGUAGGGCUACACACGUGCUACAAUGGCAUAUACAAAGAGAAGCGACCUCGCGAGAGCAAGCGGACCUCAUAAAGUAUGUCGUAGUCCGGAUUGGAGUCUGCAACUCGACUCCAUGAAGUCGGAAUCGCUAGUAAUCGUAGAUCAGAAUGCUACGGUGAAUACGUUCCCGGGCCUUGUACACACCGCCCGUCACACCAUGGGAGUGGGUUGCAAAAGAAGUAGGUAGCUUAACCUUCGGGAGGGCGCUUACCACUUUGUGAUUCAUGACUGGGGUGAAGUCU